rnacentral:lncRNA from 1 species
AUGCGCGGUCUGCCUCCCGCGGCGGGCCGGGUCUCCAGGGAGGACCUGAGUUUUCUUCACCCAUUGUCAGGGAGGCGCCAUCGCCCUGGCUUUGGGGCUGGGGCCUCCGGGGAGGUUCCGGUAGGGGCGUUGGAGAGGCCGCUCUUUUUGCAAGGCCCGAGACGGCGGGCCCUGCGCAGGCCGCCCUAUUCCGCGCCCUCAGGGCGUCAGUAUCAGCCUGAGGCUGGAUACCCCCGCUGGGCCCGGAUGACCCCGCUGGGCCCGGAGCAUCCUCCGGCGCUGCCCUCCCAGAGCCACGCAGAGGCUGAGGUGGCGCGGGGGCGGCCCCGGCUCCGCGAGAAGCGGCGGCAGCGAGGGCUGGAGGACCCGGGCUGCGGGGCUCCGGGGCGUCUGGCCUGGGUGGGACUGAGCCCAUCCAGGGACUGGGACUCUGGGAUUCUGGUGUAGGUGGAUCCGGGGCAGGCUCAGGACCAAGUCCCUCUCCUUCCACCAAGGAGCGCCCAGAGGCCGGCGGGAGCUCCAGGUUCACCUCCUCCUCCUCCAGGAAAUCCCACUUCCAGCUAGAUGUCUGCAUGAACUACUGAAAGCUGCUGAGUGUCUUGCAGCAGCUUGACUACCACACAAAUGAAUCCAUUCAAAUGUUGGCAAGUGGAGCAGAGUCCCAGGACAGGUACAGAAACACCCCCAGUUCAAGAAUCUUCACAUCUGAAUUUAGUCCUACACCUGCAACUACCCCAGCUACUUACACCAAGAUGAAGAUAAUUUAUUAGUUCAG